CAAAUAUUUCCUAGCUCUGGCAGGGCAGAUGGUGGAAAGUAAUUUUCCAAAACUCUUUUAGAAAAAGGGGGGGAAAAACACCCAAAUCACCCCAAAUCACCCCCCCCCCCAACUUGAAGAAUUAGGGAUUUCAGCGUGCAGGCAUGCCUUACAGUUUCUCUCUCUUUGGUUGUACAAGGCUGUAUGGCAGAGUGGUGGGAAGUGUGCAUGAAUGGGAAUGUAUCAUAUUACAUGUGGGAUGUUAGCAAGGCUGGGAUUUUUUUCACAGGAAACUGCAUUUGCAAGGAGCAUUCAGCAACACGCAGUCCCUUAAGAGACGUAGGUGAAGGAGUGAGCAAGACGCACUUUCCCAGACCUCGCAGGAAGCCAGCGCCUACGGGACUCAGGACUCACGGGGCGGGAGGGCCGAGCCUGGGCCUCGCGCUGCUGGGCCCGGCCAGCCCGGCGUGAAGGCGUGAGACCACAACUGCGUUCCUCACGCUCUCCUUCCCCGCUGCCCUGCCCGUUACCAGGGCGGGCGGGGGGACGUCAAAGCGUUCAGACAGCGGUGGGGGAAACAGCCCUGACGGCGUUUCCCUCCCGCUCCUCGGUGGAUCCAGGGAGUGCACGAGCUCGGGCCGGAUUUAGCUCUUGGAUCCACAGGAAACAUCUCUGCGCUGACUGCUCCCGUCCUUCGCCCUCAGCCCUGCAAGUCGCACGCGCAAGGGGAACAAAAAACCGGGGUCAACGCGCGGCAGGCAGAGCGGAGGGCGCAACGCGGGCGGCCGAAAGAGCGGGGCUCUGCUUACUGCCGCCCCGGGGGCGUUCGCUCCCGGCGCUCGGAGCUGCUCUCCUCCUCCCCCCUUGCAGAGUUGUAAGCCCCUCUCCCGGCGCUGGCCGGGAGCCUGCAGAGACGAGCAGCGGGCAGCAUCGAUGCAGCAGGACCGCUGGUAAGUUCGACUCAGUCAUCGCAAUCGGUUUGAUUCCCGAUUAUUCUGCUCCGGAAUCAAGCUUCCUCUGGGGAUUGAAACCUUGGGAGGGAGUUAACAGCUCCUUACAGUUGAGCCGGGCUGAAACAACCACUUUUAACGUCUGCGGUUCGCCUGUGAGCCGAGCGGGUGACGAUACAGCGCAUCUGGGGAUCCAAAUACUGCAGGAACUCUCUCUUUCAAACAAAAGGGGGAAAAAAAGCCCGCCGAUAAAGUAGCAGCCGUAGCGUUUGGGACUAUCAGCGAGGAGACGGGGUGGUUGGCUUUAGCACGAACGACUAAUCGCUCCGUUGAAAUCAUGUCAGCAGCUGAGUAAAUAGCCUUUCGGGAAAAGACAUUUAUGGCAGUGUUUGUGUUUCCAGGACCCGGCCUCUGUCCGGGCCCUCCUAGCAGGCAGAGCAGCCGCUGCCGAGCGUGCCCCGGCUUUAAUGUCAUGCACCGGGCCACAAAAGCCCUUUUCAGCUGAGAACAGGAGGCGCGUCAGAAGUCACUGGGCGAUGAUGUCACGGGUUGGUGUCUGCUUUGCACCGCAGAAGCACAAAAUAGGGUUACGGGCCUGUAGGGCACUGAACACUGGCGUGGCGGGAGCAUGUGCACGCAGUGUGGGGCCCUGCGCCCGUGCGCUGCAGUGCAAUGCAGCGCAGCGAGGUGCAGUGCAGCGCAGAGCGGUGCAGUAAGUGCAGUGCAGCUGGGAGCAGUGCAGUGGGGCGAGGUGCGGUGCAGGGUAGCGCAGCGUGGUGCAGGGUGGUGCGGUGCAGUGCGGUGCGGUGCAGCCUGCG
ensembl:lncRNA